rnacentral:rRNA from 1 species
AGUGAACGCUGGCGGUAGGCCUAACACAUGCAAGUCGAACGGCAGCACAGUAAGAGCUUGCUCUUACGGGUGGCGAGUGGCGGACGGGUGAGGAAUACAUCGGAAUCUACUUUUUCGUGGGGGAUAACGUAGGGAAACUUACGCUAAUACCGCAUACGACCUACGGGUGAAAGCAGGGGAUCUUCGGACCUUGCGCGAUUGAAUGAGCCGAUGUCGGAUUAGCUAGUUGGCGGGGUAAAGGCCCACCAAGGCGACGGUCCGUAGCUGGUCUGAGAGGAUGAUCAGCCCCACUGGAACUGAGACACGGUCCCGACUCCUACGGGAGGCAGCAGUGGGGAAUAUUGGACAAUGGGCGCAAGCCUGAUCCAGCCAUACCGCGUGGGUGAAGAAGGCCUUCGGGUUGUAAAGCCCUUUUGUUGGGAAAGAAAAGCAGCAGGUUAAUACCCCGCUGUUCUGACGGUACCCAAAGAAUAAGCACCGGCUAACUUCGUG